AGUAACACGUAAACAACCUGCCUUCAGGAUGGGGACAACAGACGGAAACGACUGCUAAUACCGAAUAAGUUCCAAGAGCCGCAUGGCCCAUGGAAGAAAAGGUGGCCUCUACCUGUAAGCUAUCGCCUGAAGAGGGGUUUGCGUCUGAUUAGCUGGUUGGAGGGGUAACGGCCCACCAAGGCGACGAUCAGUAGCCGGUCUGAGAGGAUGAACGGCCACACUGGAACUGAGACACGGUCCAAACUCCUACGGGAGGCAGCAUG
rnacentral:rRNA from 1 species